GUAGGGUGCGAGCGUUAAUCGGAAUGACUGGGCGUAAAGGGUGCGCAGGCGGUCUGUUAAGACGGAUGUGAAAGCCCCAGGCUUAACCUGGGAAUAGCAUACGUGACUGGCAGACUAGAAUAUGGCAGAGGGAGGUGGAAUUCCAUGUGUAGCAGUGAAAUGCGUAGAGAUGUGGAGGAACACCGAUGGCGAAGGCAGCCUCCUGGGCCAAUAUUGACGCUCAGGCACGAAAGCGUGGGGAGCAAACAGGAUUAGAUACCCUGGUAGUCCACGCCCUAAACGAUGUCAACUAGUUGUUAGGGAAAUUUUUCUUUAGUAACGUAGCUUACGCGUGAAGUUGACCGCCUGGGGAGUACGGUCGCAAGACUA
rnacentral:rRNA from 1 species